CAUUGGUUAGAUGAGGGAAGAGAAGAGGUGCCUUCAUGUAUAAAAAGGAGGGGGUGUGUGCAUUAGGAAGCAUGAGAGGCUAAGAUGCAAUUUAGAGAAAAUUGCAACUUUUGGCCCAAAGGUUUGAAUAAUUAAAUUCAAACCUAUAGUUUUUUUAAUAUAAUUUUGGGACUCACAAUCCCAUUUUUAUAUUAUUUUUCUCUCUUCCUCUCACGUUGCUCGGCGUUUUCUCACAAGGGGGGAUUAUUUUCUUUUUCUUCAGAUUAUAUUGACAAAGAUAGUGGUGAAAAAGGAGUUGUGAAGGGGAACUUGUUAUUCAAGACACAAGGAGCGAAUCCGGCCGAGAAAGCACCAG